GACGAACGCUGGCGGCGUGCUUAACACAUGCAAGUCGAACGGAAAGGCCCUGCUUUUGUGGGGUGCUCGAGUGGCGAACGGGUGAGUAACACGUGAGUAACCUGCCCUUGACUUUGGGAUAACUUCAGGAAACUGGGGCUAAUACCGGAUAGGAGCUCCUGCUGCAUGGUGGGGGUUGGAAAGUUUCGGCGGUUGGGGAUGGACUCGCGGCUUAUCAGCUUGUUGGUGGGGUAGUGGCUUACCAAGGCUUUGACGGGUAGCCGGCCUGAGAGGGUGGCCGGCCACAAUGGGACUGGGAUACGGCCCAGACUCCUACGGGCGGCAGCGGUGGGGAAUAUUGCACAAUGGGCGGAAGCCUGAUGCAGCACCGCCGCGUGCGGAAUGGCGGCCUUCGGGUUGUAAACCGCUUUCGCCUGUGACGAAGCGUGAGUGACGGUAAUGGGUGAAGAAGCACCGGCUAACUACGUG
rnacentral:rRNA from 1 species